rnacentral:rRNA from 1 species
CUAAGAAUCUUCUGCAAUGGACGAAAGUCUGACAGAGCGACGCCGCGUGGGUGAUGAAGGCCGGAAGGUUGUAAAGCCCUUUUCUACUCGAGGAAUAACCACUUGAGGCAAUGCGAGUGGGAUGACGGUAGGGUAGGAAUAAGCCCCGGCCAAUUACGUGCCAGCAGCCGCGGUAACACGUAUGGGGCGAGCGUUGUUCGGAAUCAUUGGGCGUAAAGGGCGCGUAGGCGGAUAUGCAAGCUUGGUGUGAAAGACCGCAGCUCAACUGCGGGGGCGCGCUGAGAACUGUGUAUCUAGAGUUCAAGAGGGGAAGCUGGAAUUCCUGGUGUAGGGGUGAAAUCUGUAGAGAUCAGGAAGAACAUCAGUGGCGAAGGCGAGCUUCUGGCUUUGAACUGACGCUGAGGCGCGAAAGCGUGGGGAGCGAACA